AUACGUAGGUGGCAAGCGUUGUCCGGAUUUACUGGGUGUAAAGGGCGUGCAGCCGGGCUGACAAGUCAGAUGUGAAAUCCCGAGGCUUAACCUCGGAACUGCAUUUGAAACUGUUGGUCUUGAGUAUCGGAGAGGUCAUCGGAAUUCCUUGUGUAGCGGUGAAAUGCGUAGAUAUAAGGAAGAACACCAGUGGCGAAGGCGGAUGACUGGACGACAACUGACGGUGAGGCGCGAAAGCGUGGGGAGC
rnacentral:rRNA from 1 species